rfam:Hymenobacter sp. CRA2 NODE_28_length_24681_cov_113.724_ID_1428, whole genome shotgun sequence.
GGGGCUGACCGGAAUUGACAGCUUGCGCAGGUCGCGAGUAAGCGUGUCGGGAGUUGGACGAAUCUCCCGCCAAAAAAUCAUCCGAAAAACAACUGGCGACUACUCGUACGCCAUGGCUGCCUAGUCUAGGUACUAAGCACUAGCCAUCAUCCCGCAUCCGUCUUCCUUUUCACGGGUGAGUUCGGGGUGUCGAAAGUAUUAGGAUAGUCUGGGUGGCGCUGCGACGCCCAAGCGAAACUCUAGCAGAUAAGGGUAACCCAUAGGCCUGAUGUGCGCCUCGGUUGCUUCGAAAAUGCAAGCAUAGCUACACACGUAGAAGGCUCGUCGCUCUCCUUGUCUGGACCGGGGUUCGACUCCCCGCAGCUCCACUA